GACGAACGCUGGCGGCGUGCUUAACACAUGCAAGUCGAGCGGGCUGACAGACUAGCUUAGCUAUAUGGAUGCUAGUGGCAAACGGGUGAGUAACGCGUAGGCGAACCUGCCCUUCGAGAGUAGGGGACAACUACGUUACGAAAGAGGUGCUAAUACCGAAUGACGUAUCCAUUACCGCAUGGAGAGGUAUUACCAAAGGCCGGGCUAAACCGGUUCACUUGAAGGAUGGGCCUGCGUCUGAUUAGCUAGUUGGUGGGUAACGGCUCACCAAGGCGACGAUCAGUAGCCGGUCUGAGAGGAUGAACGGCCACAUUGGGACUGAGACACGGCCCAA
rnacentral:rRNA from 1 species